ensembl:lncRNA
GGGUGGAGCGCCUCCCCGACCCCCAGGGACGGUCCCAGGCCUCCCCCAACCUGCAGUCCAGGAGCAGAGCCAGACGUUAACCAAAGACUCGCAAAGAUGACCCCUAAGGCCCAGAGACGGGCAGGAACUUGCUCACUGGGGCCAGGGCUAGAAUGGGAGCUGAGGUUCUGGCUUCCUGACCACAAGACAGAGAAGAGACAUUAUCACAGGAAGAAACGAAAGCAAAUGUUCACUGAAGCUUUAUACAACUGGCCCCAAACUGGAGACAACCCGGAGAUCCACCAGUAGGUGAUGGAUGAACUGUGAUGCAUCCAGAGAGUGGAAGACUCGGCAGCAUAAAGGUUACUAUGAGAUGCCGCACAGUGCCCUAUGCUACUCCCUAGCAAAUCCUGGUUGUUUAGCUAUUUAACGUGUGUGCUGGUUAAUCCCUUACACCUAACUCACCCCUCCCUCCCUUCCC